GCCUACGGGAGGCAGCAGUGAGGAAUAUUGGUCAAUGGGCGGGAGCCUGAACCAGCCAAGUCGCGUGAGGGAAGACGGUCCUAUGGAUUGUAAACCUCUUUAGGCGGGGAGCAAUGUCGGGCACGCGUGCCCGGAGGGAGAGUACCCGCAGAAUAAGCAUCGGCUAACUCCGUGCCAGCAGCCGCGGUAAUACGGAGGAUGCGAGCGUUAUCCGGAUUUAUUGGGUUUAACGGGUGCGUAGGCGGAUUUUUAAGUCAGCGGUAAAAUGUCCGGGCUCAACCCGGGUCGGCAAUUGAAACU
rnacentral:rRNA from 1 species